GGUGCCGUAGUUCAGUUGGUAGAGCGCUAGUGAGGAGCCAUGUAGUUCCGAUGUUUCCAAACUAGGGGUCGUGGGUUCGAUUCCCGCCGGCACCA
rnacentral:tRNA from 1 species